rnacentral:rRNA from 1 species
CCUACGGGAGGCAGCAGUAGGGAAUAUUGCUCAAUGGGGGAAACCCUGAAGCAGCAACGCCGCGUGGAGGAUGAAGGUUUUAGGAUUGUAAACUCCUUUUGUGAGAGAAGAUAAUGACGGUAUCUCACGAAUAAGCACCGGCUAACUCCGUGCCAGCAGCCGCGGUAAUACGGAGGGUGCAAGCGUUACUCGGAAUCACUGGGCGUAAAGAGUGCGCAGGCGGGCUUGUAAGUCAGAUGUGAAAUCGUGUAGCUUAACUACAGAACUGCAUUUGAAACUAUGAGUCUAGAGUGUGGGAGAGGUAGGUGGAAUUCUUGGUGUAGGGGUAAAAUGCGUAGAUAGCAAGAGGAAUACUCAUUGCGAAGGCGACCUACUGGAACAUUACUGACGCUCAUGCACGAAAGCGUGGGGAGCAAACAGGAUUAGAUACCCCUGUAGUC